rnacentral:lncRNA from 1 species
GUAUAACUUUUGGAGUACUCCUUUCAUCUGAUUCUCAAACUCAAGAGUAGAAGAGUAGUAUUACGGUGGUAUCAUGGAUACUUUGGAUCUAUUGUGCUACCAUUGAUGCCUCAAAUCACUGAGCCAUCUUCACGGUUGUCAAUCCAAAUAACGAGCUGAGAUAUAUGGAGCAGAUCCAUUUUUAUCUAGUUGGUUGUGCGGCCUAUCUAGCAUGUGAUCUCCCUCUAUUACCUCGGUCAGUUAGUUUUUCAGUGCGUGCA